rnacentral:tRNA from 1 species
GUGACUAUGGUGAAGUGGUUAACACGGCGGAUUGUGGUUCCGUUAUGCGAGGGUUCGAUUCCCUCUAGUCACCCCA